rnacentral:piRNA from 1 species
UGAGAGUUGAAAUCUGGAUGAUGAAG